UCUCCGAGCGGCGGGCCGAGGGAGGGCGCAGCAGCUGCUCCCUGAACACUUUCUGACCCAACAGUCCCCCAGCGCCGGACGCGCCGCGCCCUGGCGGCUCUAGGGACCCCCCCCGCGCCUGCACUUAGCCCCGCGCCCGAGUCCACAGACAAACGAAUUUAAAGGAGCAACCGAGGAGGCACCUGCGAAAGAAAGCCCACACACAGGUGAAUUUAAAGGAGCAGCCCUGGUGUCACCUAUCAGUAAAAGGUGAGUUAUAAAUACAUGAAGACACACGUAUGCAUAAGAGUGCAUAGAGCUAUACACACACCAAGCACAUACACAAAUAUAUCCAUCCAUCUUCAUCCAUACACACUUUUGUCAACACAUUUACACAAACCCAUGCACAAAAUGGAAACACAAAACACGGAGACAGAUGGACAUUUGUGGAAUUUACUCUCAGGAGCCUGCAUGGCCAUACAGAGUGUU
ensembl:lncRNA novel transcript